ACCACAGAACAGUCCAGGAAAAACAACGCCUACCCCUUAUCCAUUUCCUCUACCGUUUUCUGGUUCGUCGCUCGAGCUCUUCCCCACCCCACUCCCCUGUCCCCUCUCCUCUCUCGUCCCACAUCGAUCUCUCCUCGGAAUCCAUGGCAAAAUCAUACUCGUCGGCGGUGAGAGGUCUGGCGGAAACAGCGGGAUGGUUGUGCUGUUCGUGGCGGCAGUAGCGGGUGGAGCGUUGACGGCUCGGACGCGCAGAUCGAAUCCCCCGAUGGGGUUGCCGUGGUGAGAGGGGGUCGUUCGGUGACGCGCCCCCAUGCAUCGCCGCUUCCGAAGUCGGCGAUUUGUAGCGAGAUGGCCGGUGAAGGAGCAUCGGCAGUGCGGCCUCACGAAUCGACGCGUCCAAGGUGGGGCGUCCGUCGUGAGAGGGGCAGUGAAGGAGUAUCGGCGGCGCAGCUCCGAUCCGACGCAUACAAGGCGGGUGGAUCGUAUGGGAGGAGUCGCUGGUACUGCGUGGCAAGCACCUUUGUUCGUUUGUCGAUUUUUCAUGCUGGUGAGUGUUUCAGUUUGGUCGCACCUCCUCCUCCAUUGUUUGUUUCUGCGAUUGCUGUUCGUUUUGAUGUGAUUUCACGCUCGAUUCUCCCUAAAGUUUGUUCAGUUCUUCUUCAUAAGUUAUCCAUGUAUAUUCAGUAUGAGCUAGGCACGGUGGUGGCCAUGGGGCUUCAGUUCAUCUUCGUAAGUUGUAUUUUGUUUGUAGAAUAUCCAGUAGGGCUUUCCAUGUAUAUUUGGUUCAGUUUUUACAUGUACAGAACCCAACCACAUUAUAUAGGAUGUAAUUUAAGAUGUGGAAUUACAUAGUAGGGUUUUCUCUGAUGAUUUUUUGUUCAAAUUAGUAUGUUAUCUGUACAAAUUUGUGUGAAGAAACCAUGCCAACAAAGGGUUUCUAUCCAUUUUUCUGGAUGUAUUUUUUCAUGAUUAAGCUGUGCUCUGGAUGUAGAAAUCCAACUAACUCAAUAUUACUGGUUGUAUUUCUUCUUGUACACACGGUAUCUAGGAUUUUAUCACAUGAUUUAUAUUAUUAUAACGGAUGCAACAUUCCCUUAACUUGCUUAGGAUGUAAAAAAAAUUAAUCAGUUGUGUACAUUUGUGAGAUUACUGUGUAAUUUUUAGGAUGUACAUUAGGCAAUUAAAUACAUAAUGUCCCUGUAUGUUUCAUACUAUGGGGUGUCUACAAGCUAAACCAACUAAUGGCGGUUUACAUGUCGACUGAAAAUGGACUAUAGGGAAAGUACACGCUGCCUUUUGUAUAUCAGUAUAUGUAUGCAUCAGGUUUGACGUUCUUGGUUUAGAAGCUGGUGUGAACUUCUGUCAUUUCCCUACCUUUUUGUGAUUCUGCUAUGAUGGAUCAUGGUACUGUUGCAUGAGAUUUAGUUCUUAGAUGCAUGGAUUAUAAACAGAUUAUGCAAAAAUUACCAUCUUCAUCUAAAAUAUGUUGUGUCAGCAUGUAAGCUUGUUCAGAAACUAGAUGAUUCAAUCCUGUUUGCCAUCCUUUUAUUACAUGCGGGGCUUUAAGGGGAUGUUACUGAUGCUAAAUCAGUUUAUGCUGCACUUAGUUCUCUACUUGGCACUCUUGUAAUCAUCUCUUUUUCUGGCUGUAUUUUAAUCAUUUAGGACCUUGGGAAAUGUACUAUCGUCCUAGUCGAAUGGAUGUAGUUUGCAAAGUGCGCUGAUGCAUUCAUAAGAGAACAUGAAGUGUAAGUUCAUCUGAAAUACUUUGUGGUAAUACUGAUACUUGUAAUUUUAUGCUGAUAAAAAUUUGUUUAUUAGACAUUAAGUUAUGCAUGUAAUUAUAUAACCUUAUGCCAUGCUAUUUCAUUGUUGUACAAAACAAUCAUCUAUGCGCCUCAAGUUGAUUGUUCAGUUCACGGUGGUGCUGAUUGUAUCUCGAGUUCACGGUGGUGCUCGUCUAGUAAGGUUGUUCUCUUUUAGCACUCAUGUUUGUGCUUGUCUAGUAGUCUGGGCGGUAGUCAUUUUUUUUUGUAGUCAGGGUGGUACUUGUACAGGUCCCAUUUUAUAUAUGAGUUCAGUAUCUCUGCAUUUAGAGGAUACAGUAGGUUUAUUAUGUAGUAAUCUAUGUAAUUUGUCUCAAUUAGUUACAUACAUGUAUUCUAUUGUAAUUCUUCUGGUUUUUUAAUAAUAAUUAUGCGAUGGGGUGUUACUGUAUAAUAUACUACUCUCUCCGAUCCCUUUUGAUUAACUUGGAUUUAGUACAACUUUGUACUAAAUCCGAGUCAAUUAAAAGGGAUCGGAGGGAGUAUGCAAUUUUUGAGUAAUAAAUAUAUCCUGCCCAUAUGUUUGUAGUAUAUGUUUCACUCAUAGGAUGUAUUUUCUCGGGUUAUUAUCGAGCAACGGUCUCAAGGUGGGGCCAUGCUGGGAUGCUAGGGCAGAGGAGGAUCAUCGGCAAUGCGGUCCUUCAUCCAAACAGCCUUGCUGUUCUCUUUGAUUUAUCUCCGUUCAUGCAAGCAAAUGUGGUCCUCAUGUAAGACAUGGAUCUGCACGAUGAUACUAUGAUUAGCCCCAAGAUUUGUUACAUGCAGGCACUUCUAGAUAUGUGCAACAGUCUGGUGGUACGGCUAUGCCAAACCUUGUGGAUAGUUAAUCCUGAGCUUAAUUAGGGGAAGAAGAUUUACACAAGGGGAGUAAAGUUUAGCUUCGUCAGAUUUUUGUACAACACAUUGGAUGGAUCUUUGUUUGCACUGCUUUUCCAUUUCCGUUUGCUUAAUUGCAUUUAAUUACUAGUCUAAAAAUCGUUCUGAUUUGGAUUGGCAUGUAGUACAAGCUUGACCUUUAACCACCUUGGUGGCAGGCUGGAACUUUGGACCAUCUGGUCUGUAUUUGUGGCCGUUUUUUUCC